rnacentral:tmRNA from 1 species
GGGGGCGAACAUGGUUUCGACGGGGAUCGUGGAAGCCGGAUAAGCGAGCCGAAGCCCCGUGCUUCGUUAAAAACGGGACAGUUAAAAAUUAACUGACAACUACAACACCAACCUCGUCGCUGCGUAAAUCGCGGUGACCGUCCGCCCGCAAAGACCUACCGUUGCGGUUGCGGGCGUCAUUUAGGGUAGGGAACGAACCCGCCUAAGCUUUGCGGCGGGCCGGACUUAUGAAGCUACCGGAACGCGGACCCUGCCGCCGGGGGCCGCGGAAAGGGAAUGUUAAAUCAGCGGCUACGCUCGUAGAAGGUCUGGUGGACAGAUUUUCGGACGCGAGUUCGACUCUCGCCGCCUCCACCA